AUUGAUUGUUAAUUAUAACAUACUCCUUGUUAUCAAAAAAUGAAAAUCAAGUCUUUAAUCUUCGUGUUUUUUUCUUGUGCGAUGUUUAUUAUAUUUAUUGUACCAAUUGAGUCAUUCAAAGAUGAGAAACAAGUCGAGGCAGCAAAAGAAUUCCAAAGUGAAAUUCUGUACAAUUAUAACAAACCCUGGACCUUUACGCGUAGCUAUCCAAAAACAUCUAAGGUUGGUAACGGAGUAAAAAAUGGUGAAGUUCGCUCUGAUGGAACAAGUUCAAUAGAAAAGGGUGGUGAAGGAGGUGUACAAGGCGAAGAUGAACAAAGUAAAGUUGUAAAAGACUAAGGAAUGGAAUCAAGAACAUGAUGUUGAAAUCGACAGGAUAGGGGUCAUAUCCAUAAAAAUGUUGACUUUAUUUUACACCAUGUUUGAUUUAUAAUAAGAUGGAACUUUUUCCUGAUUAAAUAUUAUUUUCACUUACAACCUUUUGA